GACGUAGGGCGCAAGCGUUGUCCGGAUUUAUUGGGCGUAAAGAGCUCGUAGGCGGCCUGUCGCGUCGACCGUGAAAACCCGCAGCUCAACUGCGGGCUUGCGGUCGAUACGGGCAGGCUGGAGUUCGGUAGGGGAGACUGGAAUUCCUGGUGUAGCGGUGAAAUGCGCAGAUAUCAGGAGGGACACCGGUGGCGAAGGCGGGUCUCUGGGCCGAUACUGACGCUGAGGAGCGAAAGCGUGGGGAGCGAACAGG
rnacentral:rRNA from 1 species